rnacentral:rRNA from 1 species
UGUUUCGGCUAGGGGGCCAUCCCGGCUUACCAACCCGAUGCAAACUGCGAAUACCGGAGAAUGUUAUCACGGGAGACACACGGCGGGUGCUAACGUCCGUCGUGAAGAGGGAAACAACCCAGACCGCCAGCUAAGGUCCCAAAGUCAUGGUUAAGUGGGAAACGAUGUGGGAAGGCCCAGACAGCCAGGAUGUUGGCUUAGAAGCAGCCAUCAUUUAAAGAAAGCGUAAUAGCUCACUGGUCGAGUCGGCCUGCGCGGAAGAUGUAACGGGGCUAAACCAUGCACCGAAGCUGCGGCAGCGACACUGUGUGUUGUUGGGUAGGGGAGCGUUCUGUAAGCCGUUGAAGGUGUGUCGUGAGGCAUGCUGGAGGUAUCAGAAGUGCGAAUGCUGACAUAAGUAACGAUAAAGCGGGUGAAAAGCCCGCUCGCCGGAAGACCAAGGGUUCCUGUCCAACGUUAAUCGGGGCAGGGUGAGUCGACCCCUAAGGCGAGGCCGAAAGGCGUAGUCGAUGGGAAACGGGUUAAUAUUCCCGUACUUGGUGUUACUGCGAAGGGGGGACGGAGAAGG